UUACGGAUUCGUGUUUAGAAGAAGGAGGCGAAGGAUUUGGUGCAAGUUUGGUUGGUUUCUGGGCGCUGGUUCACCGGAGAAGAUGAAGCUUCCGGCGAACCACCUAGGUUUCCGCCGUGGCUUCAUCAACUCCGGUGAGGAAGUCUGAUGAGAGGUGAGAGAUGAGAGAGAAGCUCUGAGUGUAGAGAGAGAAAGGGGAGUGAAAAUGAAUUAAACCGGUGCUAGUUCCCUUUUAUAGACAACUAAACCGGACCAGUUCAAGACCGGUCCAAUCCCUUCGAUCCUGAGCGUUGGAUCUAGGGUUUCCUUCCCUGGAUCAAUCCAACGCUCCCUGUGCAUCCGGAUCUCUUAGUGAUUGGGCUUUGGUUUGGGCUUUUGUUUCUUUACGUUUCUGUGUGUUAUCUGCUACUUGCACCACUUCACUGUGCUUCCUGCACCCCUGCUUGCUCCAAAUUUUUACCAUGAAAUCCGAGGAAAUUACCACGUAAUUUUUACUACUUUCUUGAUAAUUUUUAGUGGUAUUUCGCUUGGAAAAGACUGGUAAAAACAUAUGUGUUGUUUUGUUAGGGUUUUUACCACUUUAAGUCAUUUUUCUCGCAUUUCUACCCGUUACUUCAUGUGCAUAAUGUUCGUGUUCGUCAUGUUUGAUUUGCAUACCAUUCCAUGUGAACUUUGCUACUGUUUGCUAUGUGUAUGUCACUGUUUUGAUGUGUUGGGUCUUAUUUUAGCUUCAUGCGCAUUAUUCAUCACAUGUUUCCGGCUUAUUUUCAUCGUCACUUUACCGUCUUAUGCCAUACUUUCUUCUAUCGCUUCAUGCCAUAUUCUUUUUUACUAUUUUGCUACUAACGUUUCCUUUCAUGUUGAUCACUUCAUAGCACUUCAUUAUCUUCACUAUUGUAUCCGUUAGUUUAGUUUUCCCUUUUUACAAAUUGUAAUUCAUUCGGUGAUGUAAUAUUUUACCAUUUGGUUUGUAGCUUGGCAAAGGGGCCAUAGAAUGUAUUUAGGCAAUGUUGUAAUAUGGACUAUGGACACUAUGGCGCACCGACACGCACACACUCACUUUAGAUGUAUGCAUAGGAUUGUAUUGUUAAAUAAGCGUUUAGGUUUUAAACACUUAGAGAAAAUCCAUCUUUUUUCAAAAAAAAAAACAAUUGAACUUCACUUCAAAAAUUUUCAUAAUAAAUAUGAAGUCAACACUUCAUUUUUCUUCUUUCUUUUUUCUUAAGAAAAAUUCAAUUCAUCUUAAUCAUUUAGACUUUCUUUUUAAUCACUAAUCAAACCUCACUUUUUUUUGCUAAAUCUAAUGCCC
rnacentral:lncRNA from 1 species